AGAGUUUGAUUCUGGCUCAGAUUGAACGCUGGCGGAAUGCUUUACACAUGCAAGUCGAACGAUGAACCUUAGCUUGCUAGGGGGAUUAGUGGCGGACGGGUGAGUAAUAUAUCGGAACGUGUCCAUUAAUGGGGGAUAACUAGCCGAAAGGUUGGCUAAUACCGCAUACGCCCUGAGGGGGAAAGCUGGGGAUCUUCGGACCUGGCGUUAAUGGAGCGGCCGAUAGCUGAUUAGCUAGUUGGUGGGGUAAAGGCCUACCAAGGCGACGAUCAGUAGCUGGUCUGAGAGGACGACCAGCCACACUGGGACUGAGGCACGGCCCAGACUCCUACGGGAGGCAGCAGUGGGGAAUUUUGGACAAUGGGGGAAACCCUGAUCCAGCCAUUCCGCGUGAGUGAAGAAGGCCUUCGGGUUGUAAAGCUCUUUCGCAAGGGAAGAAAAGAUACAAGUUAAUAGCUUGUGUUGUUGACGGUACCUUGAUAAGAAGCACCGGCUAACUACGUGCCAGCAGCCGCGGUAAUACGUAGGGUGCGAGCGUUAAUCGGAAUUACUGGGCGUAAAGCGUGCGCAGGCUGUUUGGCAAGUCAGAUGUGAAAUCCCCGAGCUCAACUUGGGAACUGCGUUUGAAACUGCCAGACUAGAAUAGGUCAGAGGGGGGUAGAAUUCCACGUGUAGCAGUGAAAUGCGUAGAGAUGUGGAGGAAUACCAAUGGCGAAGCAGCCCCCUGGGAUCAUAUUGACGCUCACGCACGAAAGCGUGGGGAGCGAACAGGAUUAGAUACCCUGGUAGUCCACGCCCUAAACGAUGUCAACUAGUUGUUGGUGGAGUAAAAUCCAUGAGUAACGUAGCUAACGCGUGAAGUUGACCGCCUGGGGAGUACGGUCGCAAGAUUAAAACUCAAAUGAAUUGACGG
rnacentral:rRNA from 1 species